rnacentral:tRNA from 2 species
GUUUUAAUAAUUUAAUAUAAAAUAUUGGUCUUGUAAACCAAAAAUGAAAUUUUUCCUAAAACU